UGGGGAAUAUUGCACAAUGGGGGAAACCCUGAUGCAGCGACGCCGCGUGAGUGAAGAAGGUUUUCGAAUCGUAAAGCUCUGUCCUAUGAGAAGAUAAUGACGGUAUCAUAGGAGGAAGCCCCGGCUAAAUACGUGCCAGCAGCCGCGGUAAUACGUAUGGGGCGCGCGUUGUCCGGAAUUAUUGGGCGUAAAGGGUACGUAGGCGGUCUAUUAAGUCAGGUGUGAAUGCGUGAGGCUUAACCUCAUUAAGCACUUGAAACUGAUAGACUUGAGUGAAGGAGAGGAAAGUGGAAUUCCUAGUGUAGCGGUGAAAUGCGUAGAUAUUAGGAGGAAUACCGGUGGCGAAGGCGACUUUCUGGACUUUUACUGACGCUCAGGUACGAAAGCGUGGGGAGCAAACAGG
rnacentral:rRNA from 1 species